UGGUGGAUUAUGAUGACAUGUCAGAUGAAGGUAUUGUAGACUCGAGUGUUCCGUUACUAGGAGGAGACGGAGCGGAGAACAGCGUUCAGAGCAAGACUUCUGUUAAACCAGCCGGCUGGUUUAGAUAUGUGAUAGUUUUGUUGCUGAGUUACGGCUUUAUUAUGGACUACAUCCUACGUAUCAAUAUCAGUUUCGCGUUGGAUAGUGAGAUGGUGGUUGCCCCAGAAAAUUGUACUGCAAAUGAUACAAGAUGUUGGUCUCAAGCUCAA